UGGAAGUAAAAGUCGUAACAAGGUMUCCGUUGGUGAACCAGCGGAGGGAUCAUUACCGAGUUUACAACUCCCAAACCCAAUGUGAACGUUACCAAACUGUUGCCUCGGCGGGAUCUCUGCCCCGGGUGCGUCGCAGCCCCGGACCAAGGCGCCCGCCGGAGGACCAACCUAAAACUCUUAUUGUAUACCCCCUCGCGGGUUUUUUUAUAAUCUGAGCCUUCUCGGCGCCUCUCGUAGGCGUUUCGAAAAUGAAUCAAAACUUUCAACAACGGAUCUCUUGGUUCUGGCAUCGAUGAAGAACGCAGCGAAAUGCGAUAAGUAAUGUGAAUUGCAGAAUUCAGUGAAUCAUCGAAUCUUUGAACGCACAUUGCGCCCGCCAGUAUUCUGGCGGGCAUGCCUGUCCGAGCGUCAUUUCAACCCUCGAACCCCUCCGGGGGGUCGGCGUUGGGGAUCGGCCCUCCCUUAGCGGGUGGCCGUCUCCGAAAUACAGUGGCGGUCUCGCCGCAGCCUCUCCUGCGCAGUAGUUUGCACACUCGCAUCGGGAGCGCGGCGCGUCCACAGCCGUUAAACACCCAAACUUCUGAAAUGUGACCU
rnacentral:rRNA from 1 species